rnacentral:rRNA from 1 species
AUACGUAGGAGGCGAGCGUUGUCCGAAUUUACUGGGCGUAAAGGGCGAGUAGGCGGCAUGUUAAGUCUCAUGUGAAAUCUCCCGGCUUAACUGGGAGGGGUCAUGGGAAACUGGCAAGCUUGAGGGCAGUAGAGGAGAGUGGAAUUCCCGGAGUAGCGGUGAAAUGCGUAGAUACCGGGAGGAACACCCGAGGCGAAGGCGACUCUCUGGGCUGCACCUGACGCUGAGGCGCGAAAGCAUGGGGAGCGAACCGGAUUAGAAACCCCGGUAGUCC